rnacentral:rRNA from 1 species
UACGAAGGGGGCUAGCGUUGCUCGGAAUCACUGGGCGUAAAGCGCACGUAGGCGGCUUUUUAAGUUAGGGGUGAAAUCCUGGAGCUCAACUCCAGAACUGCCUUUGAUACUGAGAAGCUUGAGUCCGGGAGAGGUGAGUGGAACUGCGAGUGUAGAGGUGAAAUUCGUAGAUAUUCGCAAGAACACCAGUGGCGAAGGCGAGCUCACUGGCCCGGUACUGACGCUGAGGUGCGAAAGCGUGGGGAGCAAACAGG